GAUCAUGGCUCAGGAUGAACGCUAGCUACAGGCUUAACACAUGCAAGUCGAGGGGCAGCGGGAUUGAAGCUUGCUUCAAUUGCCGGCGACCGGCGCACGGGUGAGUAACGCGUAUCCAACCUUCCGUACACUCAGGGAUAGCCUUUACGAAAGAAAGAUUAAUACCUGAUGGUAUGAUGAGAUUGCAUGAUAUCAUACUAAUUAAAGUAUUUAGUCGGUAGUACGAGUGGGU
rnacentral:rRNA from 1 species